GGGCCCGCACAAGCGGUGGAGUAUGUGGUUUAAUUCGAUGCAACGCGAGGAACCUUACCAGGACUUAAAUGUAAGUUGCAUGAUUCAGAAAUGAAUCUUUCUUCGGACUACUUACAAGGUGCUGCAUGGUUGUCGUCAGCUCGUGCCGUGAGGUGUCAGGUUAAGUCCUAUAACGAGCGCAACCCCUAUCGUUAGUUGCCAUCAAGUAAAGUUGGGAACUCUAGCGAAACUGCCGGUGCAAACCGAGAGGAAGGUGGGGAUGACGUCAAAUCAUCACGGCCCUUACGUUCUGGGCUACACACGUGCUACAAUGGUCGGUACAGAAAGCAGCCACUAUGCGAAUAGGAGCUAAUCUUUAAAAACCGAUCUCAGUUCGGAUCGCAGUCUGCAACUCGACUGCGUGAAGCUGGAAUCGCUAGUAAUCGCGCAUC
rnacentral:rRNA from 1 species